AACGAACGCUGGCGGCAUGCCUAACACAUGCAAGUCGAACGAGACCUUCGGGUCUAGUGGCGCACGGGUGCGUAACACGUGGGAAUCUGCCCUUGGGUUCGGAAUAACAGUUGGAAACGACUGCUAAUACCGGAUGAUGACGUAAGUCCAAAGAUUUAUCGCCCAAGGAUGAGCCCGCGUCGGAUUAGCUAGUUGGUGGGGUAAAGGCCUACCAAGGCGACGAUCCGUAGCUGGCUGAGAGGAUGAUCAGCCACACUGGGACUGAGACACGGCCCAGACUCCUACGGGAGGCAGCAGUGGGGAAUAUUGGACAAUGGGCGAAAGCCUGAUCCAGCAAUGCCGCGUGAGUGAUGAAGGCCUUAGGGUUGUAAAGCUCUUUUACCCGGGAUGAUAAUGACAGUACCGGGAGAAUAAGCCCCGGCUAACUCCGUGCCAGCAGCCGCAGUAAG
rnacentral:rRNA from 1 species